UAGAGAAACAAUAGAGAUGCAACCUUGAGAUCCCAGCCGUCCUUGUUAUCAACGUCCGAGAGACUCCAAAGAAUCAGGAAGUGGCCACGUAGAAGCAAAGAGGACCUGCUGCAUGAAGUAAUGCAGCAGUCCCUUAAUGAAAAUC